GCCUGGCUAGCUCAAUCGGUAGAGCGUGAGACUCUUAAUCUCAAGGUUGCGGGUUCGACCCCCGCGUUAGGCU
rnacentral:tRNA from 1 species